rfam:Ovis aries breed Texel chromosome 6, whole genome shotgun sequence.
UGGCUCAGAGGUUAAAGUGUCUGCCUGGAAUGCAGGAGACCAGGGUUCAAUCCCUG